AUACGGAGGGGGCUAGCGUUGUUCGGAAUUACUGGGCUUAAAGAGUACGUAGGCGGACAAACAGGCAUUUUGUGAAAUCCCUCGGCUCAACCGAGGAAUUGCUUGGUGAACCGUUUGUCUUGAGGCGAGUAGGGGCUGUCGGAACGAUAGGUGGAGCGGUGAAAUGCGUUGAUAUCUAUCGGAACGCCAAAGGCGAAGGCAGACAGCUGGGCUUGUUCUGACGCUGAGGUACGAAAGCGUGGGGAGCGAACGGGAUUAGAAACCCCGGUAGUCC
rnacentral:rRNA from 1 species